CGGAGGAGACCACAGGGAUUGCCCUAGUAACGGCGAGUGAAGCGGCAACAGCUCAAAUUUGAAAUCUGGCCCCUUCGGGGUCCGAGUUGUAAUUUGCAGAGGGUGCUUUGGCGUUGGCGGCGGUCUAAGUUCCUUGGAACAGGACAUCGCAGAGGGUGAGAAUCCCGUAUGUGGUCGCCUGCCUUCGCCGUGUAAAGCCCCUUCGACGAGUCGAGUUGUUUGGGAAUGCAGCUCUAAAUGGGAGGUAAAUUUCUUCUAAAGCUAAAUACCGGCCAGAGACCGAUAGCGCACAAGUAGAGUGAUCGAAAGAUGAAAAGCACUUUGGAAAGAGAGUCAAACAGCACGUGAAAUUGUUGAAAGGGAAGCGCUUGCAGCCAGACUUGCCUGUAGUUGCUCACCCGGGCUCCUGCCCGGGGCACUCUUCUGCAGGCAGGCCAGCAUCAGUUUGGGCGGUUGGAUAAAGGGCUCUGACACGUACUUCCCCUCGGGGUUGACAUACAGGGGAGCCGCAAUGCGACCAGCCCGGACUGAGGUCCGCGCAUCUGCUAGGAUGCUGGCGUAAUGGCUGUAAGCGGCCCGUCUUGAAACACGGACCAAGGAGUCUAACAUCUAUGCGAGUGUUUGGGUGUCAAGCCCGAGCGCGUAAUGAAAGUGAACGGAGGUGGGAACCCCUCGGGGUGCACCAUCGACCGAUCCUGAUGUCUUCGGAUGGAUUUGAGUAAGAGCAUAGCUGUUGGGACCCGAAAGAUGGUGAACUAUGCUUGAAUAGGGUGAAGCCAGAGGAAACUCUGGUGGAGGCUCGCAGCGGUUCUGACGUGCAAAUCGAUCGUCAAAUUUGGGCAUAGGGGCGAAAGACUAAUCGAACUUCCUUAGGCC
rnacentral:rRNA from 1 species